ensembl:lincRNA
GCAGAGAGGUGAUUGGGGGUGGACACCUGCUGGGUGCAUCAUGUUCUUCUCCAGGUCAUGGCUGGCAGGGACAGAAGGAGAGGCCUGGGGUUGGUGCCCAUCUGCUCAGAGAUUGAUCCAGAUCUACAGAGUUGUCAUUUCCCUGCUGGGAGGAGGUCUAUACUUAUAGGUCUUUGCCUCGUCUGGAAGUAGAACUUGAUGUAGGGCUGUUCCUCUUGGGGAUAACCAGUCAGGGUCCUGAUGCCUUGUGGCCCUGCUGAUGACCCUAUCAUUGCAGAGCUCAUCCAGCUCAGAGCAGGAUGACUGUGUCGACUGUGUCAUCGACACCACUUCGCUGAGCAGGGUGCCCGUGCACACGGCCACCAACAGAAGCCAGAAGAGAAGAGAGGGUGGACCAUGCAAGUGGGGACACUUCUCAGCCACAGGACGUUCUUACAUCCAAGGACCGGCUGGACCCUAUACAUGGGACUAUAAGGGGCUUCACACUUCAACGGAGGUCCCAUCUUGCACAGGAUAGAUCUCACUUUCGUCAACUAAGAGAGUCCACCUUAGAAGGGUCCACCCUCCAUCUGGCCAGGGCUUUUAGAGCCUUUGAGAGCGAUCAUUAUGGGCUCGAGGAAGACAUCAUCUGGAGGCAGAUUGUCAUCACUGCUCCCUGCACAGAGGACAACCUCGGGCCCGACCACCUGGGCGAGGAGUUCCCAUUCUCCUCUGGGCUUGGAAUGCACGACCAUACCGUGAGGCCCACACAACUCGUCCUGCACAGGCUCCUCACCGGGUGAGAACCAGGCCCCUUCCACAUCCAUGACUCACUCCACAUUUCUUGUUCACUGGGUCCGUCAACUCCCUUCUCGCAUCUCUCCUCGUCCGUCAGGUGGUAGGAGUGAGGGGACACACACCACGGGUUCCUAUGCAGAACCUAAGCACAUUAGCUAGGGAUAGUUGAAACCAGGUCUGAUGGGCUGACCGAGGCCCAGGGGCUUAUCAGAUUGUUUUCUUCCCUCUGCUGGGGAGCGUCUGUCACAGCCUUCAACACCCUCUCGGAAGGGACACGACUCUUUCCCAUGUUGCAAGAAUGUUGAGAAAUCCGUCCCGGAGGUCCCAUCUGAAUUUCCUAGGAGAGCAGCGUUCUCUGGGCUUUCAGAGGGUUGUCCAGACCCACUGUGACAUGGGGAAAAGCGAUCGUGGAGCACAACUGACAAAUAGAUUCUGCCUACCUAUAUGUGGAGGGACAUUGACAGAUUUAGCUUCGCUGGAGGAAUGAAGCAGAAAAAUUGUCUGCCCCCUGAGCAUGCACUCCCGUAGGGCGUCAGAAGCUACACUUGAUCUCAUGAGCAUGGGGGUCCACAGCAAGUUGGUGUGAUGGUCACGGCUCUCUCUGGGUAUGGGCAAGUCCUCCUGGUUUGUCAAGGAGAUGAAAACACUGGGCACCCCUUAACAAUGUGAGUGGCCCAUAGGUCAGAACAAAGGGCUCCAAACUCCACAGCUGAGUCGGAAAUGUGCAGUGCCUGUAGAGGUGGAGGGGUAGAGGGGUCUACUCAUGUGUCACAAAGAUGUGACAUUUUCCCUGCUUGGUUUCAUCUAACCCACUUAAACCAUAGCAAUCACCGGAUCCAUGGUCCUAGGGAAGAAGAAGUGUUGAGCAAACUGCUAAUCUCUCUGCCUGGAUGGUCUGGUGAGGGAGUUGAGCUGUCUAGGCAAGGUGGGACAAGGCAGUGCCCCUGGUAAGAAAGAAAUGGUAGGAAAGGGAGGAGACACACAGAGGCCUGCUUGAAUAGGCCAGGUCUUGCUCCCUCGGCCUCAGGCCGAGGUACAGUUAGGACCUGGAAAAGGGGGCAGCAGUUCCCCAUUCACCAGGCAUUUCAGAGCGGCUCGAUUUUGGUGCAGUGCAUUGACUGAAGCAGUCGCUGCUUUUCCCUGCCUUUCUGGGAACUAUUUUCUCCUCUGUUGGGGGCCGGGAAGAGUGACAGAAAUGCAUCUAGGUCCCUGAUGUAGGCAAGAUACAUUCAAAUACCACACUUAAGCCUCCUACGGCUGACAAGAGCCCUGAGUCCCCAGCUAUGGGACAGUCAGCCACUGCCCAGUCUGACAGUGUUUGUGGAGUGGCUGCAGGACAUGGGAUGGGCAGGGCCAUAGACAGCAACUCUCCUGAAACACACACACGGU